GUCUCCCCUCUGACCUCGCCCCCCGCCAGGGCCCCUGCUCAUGCUCCUCUCUAGCCAACUUGCUUGCUCUUUCUCAAAGGCCUCUGGGCCUUUGCCCUGGCUGGACACCCCCCCACACACACACCCGGACCGCCCUUUCCCAGAUACCCGCCAGACAGACUCCCUUCCUGCGGGUCAGGUGUCAGAGAGGCCUCUCCUGGGCACUUGUAAGACAGUAACGCCCCUGCGCGCAUGUCUGGGCCCCUGCCCAGCACACGCGGUCACCCUUACUCUGCCUUAUUAUUAUUGUUUUUUCAGUACCGGUCACCUUCUGACAACCCAUUUAUCUGUUUACUUGCUGCGGUCUGUCUCCCUCCCUGGACUGUGGCCACCACGAGGGCAGGGAGUUGUCACUUCUGUUCGCCCCUGCAGUGCCAGUGCCUAGAACGGCACUCCAGAGGGGCUCAACGAAUAUUUCUUCUCGGUCUAAGUGAAAGGGUUCAAACCCCAGCUCCGGUGCCUGCCGGCUUUGUGAGCUUGGACCAUCUCGCUGAGCCUCAGCGUCCUCCCCUGCACAAUGAGGGUGACUGACUGUCCCUCUUCCAGAAGCCCCGUGAAGAUUCCACCGGACAGUGUUUCCAGGAAUCACCGCCCACGUCAGUCACCUGCACUUGGAUCCUGUUUCGUGGUCUGCUUCGGGGGGACCCCAAACCGGGAAGAUGUGGCGCCUCGGUCUUUUCACCCUUCACAAGAAGGUAGGAGAGCCCUCGAGUCAGCCUGAGGCGUGGGGGGUUGUUGGAAGGCCCAGGGCCAGAGCAGGACAUCUGCGAAACUCGAGUGCGGAGUGCUGGACGCCGGGCCCUAGGGAUGGGGAUGGAGACUCAGGACCAGUGGGUCUCUCUCUCUCUCUGCCACUCUGCUCUGUGGACACUCAGGGACCUUGUCCAUCAUGCACUGACCUCUCCCCCCCGGCACCACUGUCACGCCUGUCCCCAUGCCUAAGUGCCCUGCCUUUUGCUUACAGACCUCGUCCUGCUCUCCAGCCCAGGCCUGCUCAGAUCCCUCCCCGGGAACUCUGAGCCUACACUCCAGCCACUGCCUGCAUUACUGCUCCCGACAGACUCAUCCCGAAUCCUGCGAUCUGAGCCCCUCCCAGGUGGGGGCUUCCUUGGGGGGGAGUCUGGACCCUGGACUUCCGGGCUGGGAACAGGAGCAGCUCUGAUUGCCUCUGGCUGCUCAGGUCCCGCCUGGUCCCCAUCUCUCCUCCCAUCUCCCAGGUGAGGUCCCAGGGGACUCACUGGAUGCCCAGAGGAAAAGGCUUGGAGCGAUCUGUCCAAACGCAGAUACAAUGGUGGCAUUUUCCAGACGGGCCGGGAACGUGUAACAGGCGUGGGCCCGGGUCUGCGUCCUAGCUCCCCGCGUCCCAGCUGUGUCUUCCUCGCUAAGCCCUUUCACCUCUCUGACCCGUGGUCUCCUCCUCUGGGAAGUAUGACAGCAAUGUCCAGCUUGCCUGUCUUCCCCCCGCCCCCAACGUAUAAAUAAGAUGGAUUUUGUGCCUGUGCCUGGGAAGGUGGAGAAGCGAAAGAAGCUCCUUGGAAAAUCUGGAGAGUGACUCGCACAGCCCGGGGGCAGCUGGAGAAGCAUUCACAGAAAGAGGACACCGGAGAUGGGGUUUCACGGGUGAAUAGGAGUUCUUCAAGCAGAACCAACGGGAAAGGACAUAUUUCAGGCAGAGAGAGCUCCCCGCACCGUGGAGGAAAGAGCCAACUGUGUUUGCGGGGAAUGACGAGCAGUGGGGGUGAGUCCCUACAGGGGUGUGUUGUUUUCAAGGUUGUGGCAGAAACUCAGAUGGGGAGAAAACAUCCAGAGAAAUCUUUUCUUUAAAUCAAUGAAAGUUGACUCUCUAAUCCCUACCCUCUGGCUCCCUGAACUGGCAGGAGAUUCCAUUUCAGUCAGAGCCCAGGCCCUGCCCCUUCUGGGGUUCUACCAGAAGAACCUAGAAGAAUCUAGCCGUUCUUCGGAUCUGCUCUCUGUGUGGCCACCUCACGGACAUCCGCCUGGUCUGGGUCCACAGAGGUCCCUGAAGCCCCGUGACUCUCUCCCACCGGGGAUUCCCACUGUGUCCAAGGCCACAGGGCCUGGGGUUUUUGCUCAGUGAAUGACACGGCUGUGUCAUUGUGUCAUGGUUGUGUAUGGAGGGUGGCAGCUGUGAGGAGUCCUCCCACCCCCCUCCCGCUCCUCCUCCUAGUCUGGAAGGAAACUCCCUCUUCUCUCCCAGGCUAGGGUCACCUCUCCAAUGGCUCUGAGCUUGUAAAAGCCAGGGCGACAAUGGGCAGGGCCUAUUUUUUCAUUCUACAGAAUCCCAGGCUCAGACACAUGUAAAGGGCUCUGAAUACAGGCUCAAAAUGCACAGAAACAAAAAGAGGAAGGAAGGA